UACGUAGGCAGCAAGCGUUGUUCGGAGUUACUGGGCGUAAAGGGUGUGUAGGCGGUUCUUUAAGUUUGGGGUGAAAUCUCCCGGCUCAACCGGGAGGGUGCGCCGAAUACUGAGGGACUAGAGUGCGGGAGAGGAAAGUGGAAUUCCUGGUGUAGCGGUGAAAUGCGUAGAUAUCAGGAGGAACACCGGUGGUGUAGACGGCUUUCUGGACCGUAACUGACGCUGAGGCUCGAAAGCGUGGGGAGCAAACAGG
rnacentral:rRNA from 1 species